rnacentral:rRNA from 1 species
GUUAAGCGACUAAGCGUACACGGUGGAUGCCCUGGCAGUCAGAGGCGAUGAAGGACGUGCUAAUCUGCGAUAAGCGUCGGUAAGGUGAUAUGAACCGUUAUAACCGGCGAUUUCCGAAUGGGGAAACCCAGUGUGUUUCGACACACUAUCAUUAACUGAAUCCAUAGGUUAAUGAGGCGAACCGGGGGAACUGAAACAUCUAAGUACCCCGAGGAAAAGAAAUCAACCGAGAUUCCCCCAGUAGCGGCGAGCGAACGGGGAGCAGCCCAGAGCCUGAAUCAGUGUGUGUGUUAGUGGAAGCGUCUGGAAAGGCGCGCGAUACAGGGUGACAGCCCCGUACACAAAAAUGCACAUGCUGUGAGCUCGAUGAGUAGGGCGGGACACGUGGUAUCCUGUCUGAAUAUGGGGGGACCAUCCUCCAAGGCUAAAUACUCCUGACUGACCGAUAGUGAACCAGUACCGUGAGGGAAAGGCGAAAAGAACCCCGGCGAGGGGAGUGAAAAAGAACCUGAAACCGUGUACGUACAAGCAGUGGGAGCACGCUUAGGCGUGUGACUGCGUACCUUUUGUAUAAUGGGUCAGCGACUUAUAUUCUGUAGCAAGGUUAACCGAAUAGGGGAGCCGAAGGGAAACCGAGUCUUAACUGGGCGUUAAGUUGCAGGGUAUAGACCCGAAACCCGGUGAUCUAGCCAUGGGCAGGUUGAAGGUUGGGUAACACUAACUGGAGGACCGAACCGACUAAUGUUGAAAAAUUAGCGGAUGACUUGUGGCUGGGGGUGAAAGGCCAAUCAAACCGGGAGAUAGCUGGUUCUCCCCGAAAGCUAUUUAGGUAGCGCCUCGUGAAUUCAUCUCCGGGGGUAGAGCACUGUUUCGGCAAGGGGGUCAUCCCGACUUACCAACCCGAUGCAAACUGCGAAUACCGGAGAAUGUUAUCACGGGAGACACACGGCGGGUGCUAACGUCCGUCGUGAAGAGGGAAACAACCCAGACCGCCAGCUAAGGUCCCAAAGUCAUGGUUAAGUGGGAAACGAUGUGGGAAGGCCCAGACAGCCAGGAUGUUGGCUUAGAAGCAGCCAUCAUUUAAAGAAAGCGUAAUAGCUCACUGGUCGAGUCGGCCUGCGCGGAAGAUGUAACGGGGCUAAACCAUGCACCGAAGCUGCGGCAGCGACGCUGAUGCGUUGUUGGGUAGGGGAGCGUUCUGUAAGCCUGCGAAGGUGUGCUGUGAGGCAUGCUGGAGGUAUCAGAAGUGCGAAUGCUGACAUAAGUAACGAUAAAGCGGGUGAAAAGCCCGCUCGCCGGAAGACCAAGGGUUCCUGUCCAACGUUAAUCGGGGCAGGGUGAGUCGACCCCUAAGGCGAGGCCGAAAGGCGUAGUCGAUGGGAAACAGGUUAAUAUUCCUGUACUUGG